GGCCCAAGGCGAGGUUUUGGAAAUGGUCAGGCUGGUUUUGGUGGAAGUCAAGGUGGAUUUAGAAACAAAGAUGGGGGCUUUGGAAAUGGAGGUGGAUUUAGCAAUGGAGGUGGGAUGAACAACUAUGACAUGGGUGGAGGCUUUGGAGAUAGGAUGGUUGGCGGUGGUCGAAUGAUGGGUAACAACUACACAGCUUUCAGAGUC
rnacentral:sRNA from 1 species